UGUUCCCUUCCAUAUUUAAAUUCAGUUUUUUGGCUCCCUUCACGUCCGCGUGAAUCUGGUGCUGCUUCGUCUCUUCAUUUUUCCUUUUUCCUCCCCCCCCCUUCUCUCCCAUCCUCAUCUCUCUCUCUCUGUCUCUCUUCCUGGGACGGAGCUUCCGCGCCAAGUAGAAGCGAAAUCCGUCUGAAGUAACGACUUCUUCCUUGCGGAAUAGCGACGAUAUCUCGUGAACCUUCACUUCCUUGCACGCUGUACGAAACUCCGGCGGAUUUUUGGGGGAUUUCCCGAUCUCGCGGCGUUUCUUUGUGGAAAGCGGUGUAGAGUUGAUUUUUCUUCUGCAUCGACGUUUAUCGGAGCAUUCUCAGCUCGGAUCUGAGAAAUUACCGGAAGAUUUUGUGUUUCUGGUGUUUAGCGCGUGAAUCGAGAGAGACGGAGUUGAAUCUGCAUGAUUGGUGGAGGUUUUUGGGAGAUCGAUCUGGAAGGUCUAGAGAAAGAGGGGCGUAGAGGGUUGGAUUGUUUCUCUGUGAGCAGAUCUGGAAGGUUUGAGUCGAAAGAGAAAAUAUCGUGUUCGACGGGCUUCUUCUGUCCAAGGUAACGGACUCGCUUUGAGGGUUUUCUCCGAAGUUGCAAAGCGUUUUUGGCACAUGAAAAUCUACGUGUUGUUCAGCAGACCCAGACUAAAAAGGGGAUCGGAUGGGUUCAGGGUCUUCAGACUUGUAAGCUAGUCAGAGAAGUCAGCUUUUUAUCCGCAUCCCUCGUUUCGGGUUGCAAUUCUUGCAAUUGGGUGCUUUAACUCAGAUGACCAGUGUUGCAUAGAUUUUCCUUGCGAAGGCACAGAUAUUUAAUUUAAUUCAGAUCGUGUAUUUGCAAGCUUGAAGCGUUUGCGUCAAUGGAAACUCUUGUUCUCUUA